AAAUUUCUAAACCAGUCAGAUAAUCCUAAGAUGCAUAAAAUCACUUAUUUAAAUAGGUUUAUCUUCCAUGAUAUUCCAAUAAAAUUCAUCAUACUCAGAACUGAAUUUCAUAAGCACUUCGGCCGUCAACAGUACGACAUCGCCAUCAUUUAGAAAAUUAUUCAACAACUUCCAUAAGAAGAGAUUAUAAAAUCCUCUCAACAUAAAUGUAAAAGUAACGUAACAUAUCUAACCAGUGUUACAUUACAGAGCAAGACACUUAUUUUAUAAUAAUAAUAAUAAUAACGUAAGCUAAGACUCUCCGAAGCUACUCCUCAUGAGCCACAUCUCUACCUCCUGUACCUGAGCGAUGUCGCAUAGAACAUCAUUCCAACAGAAGGGUAAGAACUUACAUUGUAUAAAAUAUAACAUAACAAAGAGCAAGUAAACAAUUCAGAUCCUGCUUUAUAAACUCUUCACCUUUACUUUAAAAUCUGAGUGAUUAUAAUAUUUUCUCUCAAGACAGUUUCACAAUUCUUAUUAAUGUUUCGAAAAAUUAUAAGCUUAAAGAAAAAUAAUAAUUCGACUUUACCACAACAGCAAAACAAUUCACCAACAAAUCACCAAACACAUAAAACCACUGAAAACGUGAAACUUAGUGUGUGAGACUCUAAUGUAUGCAUGUGGUACCAAUUGUUAACCUUAGCGGUAUCACCGCGUCCACUCCAGACAGUUAACCACCAAUGAAGUCCACUCCAGACUUCCAGAACCACGCCAGUUCUGGGACAAACCUCAGUUUUCCGAUGAAAACCGACACGUUGCCUCUUGACUAAAUGAAGUGUAUUUCGUGCAAAAACUCAUAAAUUAAAACAUGCAAUUUGAGACCACUCCAGCCCCAAAUAUAUAACAUAUUUUCUCACCAAAUUCCAUAACGGAAAUCACACCAAAAUUGCACAAAAUAACACUUCAAUACAAUUAUCAAAUCAUUCACUAUUCCACUGACAAAAUAGCAACACAAAAUCAUCAAAUGUCUCAUAUCAAUUACUAGAAUCAGUUUCAGAAUCAAUCUCAGAAAUAAGCAGAAACAUAGCAAACUUGCAUAUAAUCCUGGUACUAAAUGAGCAGUCCAAAAAUUAUGAAAAUUUUACCAAACAUAGCCUUAUACGUUAGCUUUCAUAUAAAAUUGGUUUCACCCAAUUUGGAAUUCUGUAGAGAGAGUUAUGGUCUCUACAGCACAGGCUGUUAGGGUUUCUGCGAGCAGAAACAGAGUGAACUUGCAGAUAAUUCUGGUAUUGAACCAACAAUCUAAAAAUUAUGAUAAUAUUACCCAAUAUAGCCCUAUGAGUUAGCUUUCAUACAAAAUUGGUUUCACUCAAUUCGGAAUUCUGUAGAGAGAGUUAUGCUCUCUAUAACACAGGCUGCUAGGGUGUCUGCGGGCAGAAACAGAAUAAACUUGCAAAUGAUUCCGGUAUUGAACAGCAAUCGAAAAAUUAUGAAAAUAUUACCCAACAUAGCCCUAUGAGUUAGCUUUCAUAUAAAAUUGGUUUCACUCAAUUUGGAAUUCUGUAGAGAGAGUUAUGCUCUCUACAACACAGAUUGUUAGGGUAUCUGCGGGCAAAACAUAACAGAACCCAAUUUUCCCCGGAACCUCAAUUUCGCUCAAAAUCAAUUUUUCUCACCACAUGUUAACACUCAACACAGUCUCUCAGUUCUGAAUUUUCAAAAAAGAUGAGGGUUCCUUCAUGUUAAACUCAACCUCUGUUAUUCUACAAUUAUACAAGAUAAAUUCAAACCCUUACCUCUUGAAGAUCAAAUUCUAGGUUUUUUCUUCUCUUUUCUCCCCUUCUCUCUUUCACGCUUCUUUUCUUCUCCUCUGCUAACUUCUCCAAUUCUCAAAUUCUGAUUUCUC
rnacentral:lncRNA from 1 species